ACUUUUUUCUCUCUUCUGCUAUGCGUAUUUUCAGGCGAUAAAACUAGGGUUUAGAUAACUUUCAAUCAUCGAUCGUAUUAGCCGAGAAACAUCACAGAAAUCUCUUUAAUCUUCUCAAUACCUUUCAAUCAUUGAUCUGUAACUUGUCGAUCGAUAGGGAGUUUAAGGGUGAGAGAAAUAGAUUUCUUAUGUUCUUACUGAUUGAAGAUUGGAAGUUGUCUUGUAUGAUUAGGUGUCCCUGGAUUUCAGAUGGCGGACUACGAAGAUUGAGGUUUGAGUAGCUGGAGUUGAGAUGCUGGCGAUUUUAGUGAUCGUGAAAAAGGUAGAUAUACCCUGAUAAAAGAUUCAGAUGACCACCCUCUAGGAUUGUAUGAUAAACCGCUUCCGUGUUUUGGCUGUGGGGUUGGAUGGUUCUCGAUUGCAUUUAUCAGUUGGCUCGAACGUGCCCAGCACCUCAAGAGAUGUAGCCUCGCAUACUCCAUGCGGUGUUUCUGCUUCAUCUCAAAUAGGUUCACAUGCUGCGACAAGUUCACCUGUUGGGAAUACUGUAUCACCAGCUGCGACAAGUUCACCUGUUGGGAAUACUCAAUCACCAGCUUCAUCAAGAGUACGUGGUUUUCCGCUUUGUUCGUUACUGGAUUACGAGGGUGAAGUAGUUGCAACUGGUAAGCUAUGUACUGGUUCUUUAUCUAAUCAGUUUCAUGGAGAUCCUAUACCUAUACAUCUUGCCAAGGUAUGUAUCGAUGAUAUUCUUAAGCCAGAUGCAAACACUGUGAGAGCUAACAAGUAUGCAGCGACCUUCAGAGAUGUUGGAAUUGUCUUGUGCAAUUAUUUACUAUAUUUAUGUUAUGGACUCAUUGUCCUGUAGUUUUAGCACUCAUUGUCUGCAUUUUAUUUGUAAUUAACUUUGUAAUUGCAGACUUUGCGAGUUGCCUGGCUCAGCUGACGAUAAUUUUUAUGAGAAGCUUCUAGUAUCUGGUCUCAAAGUGGAUGGGAUGGAAUGAGAAUCUUGUUUCCAACCAUUUCCAGUGGAUUGCCUACUGCCUUCAUCGAGUUUUUUGAUGCCCAAUCUUUCAACAAACCAAGCCUGCAAAGGAUAUAUAGCUUAGUUGUGGUUAAUCGAAUGAUGCUCUAUUUGAUCAGAAAGGAUGGAGAACAAAGCAGCUUCAAGAUUUGUAAGUUGCAGUUAUUCAAGUUUUGUAGGCAGUUAGUAAGUUUCUGUUUUCCAUUAGAAAUUUGGAACCUUCCAUGUAUUCCCUUAGAAAUCUGAUACUUAACAAAAAAAA